CUAGCUGACCUUACUUAACCCAGAAAAUCUGGAGUCUCUGGAACGGGGAGAGUUGAAGUUCACAUACGAAGACGCUGAUAAUUUCGGCGAUUCGUGCGGCAGCGCGGAGAGCGAAGAGGGGUCCGACGCCGAGGCGGAUGUGGAGGUUGUCGAGCAUAAUUACAACAGUGAACCACAGUUUUUUGAUAUUAGCGCUAUCAAAUCGGAAGAUGAUGACAUCGAUAUAGAGGACACAGAAUUAGUUUACGAUGAAAUGGAUAUCGAAAACGACAAGGAAGUGUUGCGGGUGGAAGUGGCGUUAGCGCAAAAAGAACUGUUGGAGUACGGCCGUUGUGCUGUGAACGGGAAGAAACGAAAAAUCUAUUAUCUACAAGACUAAAUAAUGAAGUUUAGCGAGUUCGGUUAGCCAAAGUUUAAAGGUCUCUGUAAAAGUUUAAUAGCUGUUAUUAGAAUUAUUUUAUAAUUUUAAUAGUAUAUUUUUGUAUCGGAAUCAAUUUACGUAAGCGGCUACGGCGGCCGCCGGAACUGUUACACUUUUCGAUGAUGUAAACGUUCUGUUAUUUGCCGUUGCCGAAUUUUGAUUAUGUUUUUGAUUCAACUAUACCGACAACUUUAAGUAUUUUCCUAUUUUAUUUUUAUUGUUACGAAUUAAAGUCUGACUAGAUUUAUGUUGUCGAUAUGAUUGAACUAAAUGUUAAACUUUGAGGUAUAAGAAAUGAAAAGCUGUGUUAAAAGUGGUGAUAAUGUAUAUAGCUUUCUUUUACAUUACUUAACAAAUAAUUAGUUUUUGUUUCAUUUCCCAUUCAAAUCAUUUGGCAGCAUGUAGAGUAGAUUGUGAGAUUUCCAUUGUCGGAGAGGUCAUCUGCCAAAAAUAUUCAAAUUACACCUCUCCGAUAAUAGAAAUUCUUUAGCAGUAUUUGGCAAUUCCUUUGCAAAAUUGUCGAUUAAUCGUGCAAACGAAUUGCAAUUUUUACAGUUAGAAAUAAGAUGUGCCUUUGCUCAAAUUACUAAAACAGUUGCUACAAAAAAAAGGGGACCAUUUUCUUUCGUUUCAAUUUUGCUAAUCUUUGAAUUUGACGUCGCAAAAUUAUGUCCAUAUGUGGAAUGGGCGGCCAUUUUUCUGUACAAAACAUUUAAUGUAAAUCAGACAGGUUUACUACUUAUUCAGGGAUAAAUGUCCUAUAGUUAACGUAAUGACGAUCGGGUCUGAUAAGUAGUCGUAAAUAAAUUAGCGGUAACAUUGUAAAUGAUCAAGAAUGGCUAGUAUGUGUACUUCUAGUUUGAUUUUAAACGUUCCGUGUUUAUACUUGUAUGUAAGCUUUAAAAUCGAUCUAGGACUUAACGAACUAACUCUUUCGUUGUAAUACCUAAUGUAGAAAUAUGACCUAGUUGUAAUUUUUGUAGUUUUACAAAAUUAAUGUGCGUUGCGUGUACAAAUUUCUAGUUUUAAGGUGGUUGUAUUAGUAAUUCAGAAUAAAACAUUGUGAUUUUUA